UUGGUUUAUUGAAAAGUAAUUGUUGGAUAGGUACCCGUAGUACCUAUAUACCAAGACUAGUUUUGCUUACAUAUUAGUGAACACUUAAGUAACUAAAUAAUUGAACUAGUUCCAUGGUGAAUGUGACAUCAUUUUUGUUUACAAUUCAAUUUUGACUGAAGUAAUGAAGUUACAGAGUUCCUUGGUGACGGUGUUUGUUCGGUGUUUCAAUAAAGCAGGUACAUUACAAACAUCACACAAAUUAGUGUCUGUCAGCUUCAUUUUAAGAAGGUUCUAAAGACAGUUCGGCAUGCCAGUGUUUUUUUGGUGGAGAUGGAAAAAAACUAGAGAAGGCUUCAUAUAUUUCCACACGAGCAUCCUUAACGGCUAAGUUGGACGAAAUGACACAGCCAGCAUCCACGGCUUGUCUGGCAAAAUAAUCUGCGCGUUCAUUCGAUUGGAUUCCAAUAUGGGAAGGAACCCACAGAAAAGACCUGGUAAGAGGGAUUUUCUGAAUUUGUCUAAUAUGUCUAAACCUUCCGUGCAGUUCAGCGAGCUCUGAUACUUUGGAAAAGGAUGAAUGUUCAUAAACAGGGAUUGAAGGUGUAACAUUGAUGGCACUGGCUACUGGAUGAUUGAUAAUGGUGCGAGGAGCUGCUAUUUUGCUGUACUUUAUUUUUGCGAUUCUUCUGUUUAUUUCUUCAUUAAAGUUUCUUAUAUUUUGA
rnacentral:sRNA from 1 species